UGUGUCCUUGCUCAGAUUCCCGUGCAAACAGAGCAAGGCCGCCGAACUUUAAUUCAUUCCACUCCCCAGAAAGUGCUAAGAAUGAGACACUAAAGAAGGUGAAACCAAAACAAUUUGGAGUCACGAGGAGGAGGCCAGUCUGUCUGUGGAAUCUGCGGAUUGUUUAGUUAGAAAAAACAGUGGUGCUUUUUUUU